rnacentral:rRNA from 1 species
GGGGGGAGCAAGCGUUGUUCGGACUUACUGGGCGUAAAGGGCGCGUAGGCGGCCACCGCAAGUCGGUUGUGAAAUCUCCGGGCUUAACCCGGAAAGGUCAAUCGAUACUGCGGGGCUAGAGUGCAGAAGGGGCAACUGGAAUUCUCGGUGUAGCGGUGAAAUGCGUAGAUAUCGAGAGGAACACCUGCGGCGAAGGCGGGUUGCUGGGCUGACACUGACGCUGAAGCGCGAAAGCUAGGGGAGCGAACGGGAUUAGAUACCCCGGUAGUCCUAGCCUUAAACGAUGAAUGCUUGGUGUCUGGGGUUUUAUAGUCCCCGGGUGCCGUCGCUAACGCUCUAAGCAUUCCGCCUGGGGAGUACGGUCGCAAGACUG